AUGGCUUCUGCCAUUCCUUCUCUGCUGUUCUGCCUGCUCGUUCUCGCCCCUCAUCUCGGUAGCUCCUACCACACCAGCUUCAUCAAUGGCGGGAAGCAGACCUUCGUCCGCUCGUCCGAUUCGAUGGCCCCGCCGACCUGCUCGCCAGCGCCUUCAGAUGGCGGUGAAGUACCGGCAGGACGCCUACCUGUAGUGCACCGGCUGAGCCCGUGCUCUCCUUCCGGCGCCGGCGAGGGCCAAAGCAUGCUAUCUGCCGGCGACGCCUUCGACCGCGACUCCCUCCGCCUGCGCGCUCUCUUCGGCGAGUCGGAGCCGGAGGACUCCAAGGCUGGCCUCACCAUCCCCGCGACCGGCGCUCCCCUCGCGGCUCUUCCGGGCGCGGCGGACUACAGCGUCGUCGUCGGCUUCGGCACCCCGGUGCAGAAGCUCGCCGUGGGCUUCGACACGGCCACGGUGGGGGCCACGCUGCUCCAGUGCAAGCCGUGCUCCGCCGACGGGGACCCGUGCGUCAGGUCCUUCGACCCCUCCCGGUCGCACUCCCUCGCGCAGAUCCCGUGCGCCUCGCCAGAUUGUCCCCUCAGGGCUUGCAACGGGCCCAGGAGCUGCACGGUCGCCCUGAAGAAGAAGGGCGCCGUGCUGCUCAACGCCACCGUCGUCACCGACACGCUCACGUUCUCGAGGUCGGUCCAUGCCGACGAGUUCAGGUUCGCUUGCUUGGAGAUGGGCGCCGCCGCCGACACGACGACGGAGAGGUCGUCCGGAGUCCUCGACCUCAGCAGGGAGCGCCACUCGCUGGCGUCACGGGUCCUUGUGUCUCCGGACACGGUCGCCUUCUCCUACUGCCUGCCGGCGGACCCGGGCUUCCCGGGUUUCCUCUCCCUGGGCGCGACCCGGCCGGAGCGCUCGGGCCGCGGCGUGGUGGGCGGCUACGCCACCGUAUGGGACAAGGCUUCCCACCCGAACCUCUACUUCCUCCGGCUCGUCGGCGUGAGCGUGGGCGUGCGGCAUCUCCGCGUCCCGCCCGCCGCGCUCGCCAGCGACGCGCUGCUGGAGGUGCACACCACCUUCAACUACCUCAGCCACCACGUGUACGCGGCUCUCCGGCACGAGUUCAGGGAGCAAAUGCGGGAGUACCGCCGGGCGCCGCCGCUGGGGGAGCUCGAGACGUGCUACGACUUCUCGCGGGAGAGCUCUUACUCGGUGCCGAUGAUCACCCUGAGGUUCCACGGCGGGGCGGAGCUCGUCAUCGACCACAUGCUGUACUUCAAGGACCCCAGAAACGUCUUCGGCGUGGCGUGCCUCGCGUUCGCGCCGGCGCCGGCCUACGCGCCCGCCGGCGUCGCGGUGGUCGGGUCGAUGGCGCAGGCCAACAUGGAGGUGGUCUACGACGUGCGUGGUGGCAAGGUUGGCUUCGUCCCAAACGGCUGCUAA
rnacentral:rRNA from 1 species